AGUGAACGCUGGCGGUAGGCCUAACACAUGCAAGUCGAACGGCAGCACGGUAAGAGCUUGCUCUUACGGGUGGCGAGUGGCGGACGGGUGAGGAAUACAUCGGAAUCUACUUUUUCGUGGGGGAUAACGUAGGGAAACUUACGCUAAUACCGCAUACGACCUACGGGUGAAAGCAGGGGAUCUUCGGACCUUGCGCGAUUGAAUGCGCCGAUGUCGGAUUAGCUAGUUGGCGGGGUAAAGGCCCACCAAGGCGACGAUCCGUAGCUGGUCUGAGAGGAUGAUCAGCCACACUGGAACUGAGACACGGUCCAGACUCCUACGGGAGGCAGCAGUGGGGAAUAUUGGGCAAUGGGCGCAAGCCUGAUCCAGCCAGACCGCGUGGGUGGAGAAGGCCUUCGGGUUGUAAAGCCCUUUUGUUGGGAAAGAAAAGCAGCAGGUUAAUACCCCGCUGUUCUGACGGUACCCAAAGAAUAAGCACCGGCUAACUUCGUG
rnacentral:rRNA from 1 species